AAAAACUCCGGUGGUAUGAGAUGGACCCGCGUCUGAUUAGCUAGUUGGUGAGGUAACGGCCCACCAAGGCGACGAUCAGUAGCCGGCCUGAGAGGGCGACCGGCCACAUUGGGACUGAGACACGGCCCAAACUCCUACGGGAGGCAGCAGUGGGGAAUAUUGCACAAUGGGGGAAACCCUGAUGCAGCGACGCCGCGUGAGUGAAGAAGUAUUUCGGUAUGUAAAGCUCUAUCAGCAGGGAAGAAGAAAGACGGUACCUGACUAAGAAGCCCCGGCUAACUACGUGCCAGCAGCCGCGGUAAUACGUAGGGGGCAAGCGUUAUCCGGAUUUACUGGGUGUAAAGGGAGCGUAGACGGCUGUGCAAGUCUGAAGUGAAAGCCCAGGGCUCAACCCUGGGACUGCUUUGGAAACUGUGGAGCUAGAGUGCUGGAGAGGUAAGUGGAAUUCCUAGUGUAGCGGUGAAAUGCGUAGAUAUUAGGAGGAACACCAGUGGCGAAGGCGGCUUACUGGACAGUAACUGACGUUGAGGCUCGAAAGCGUGGGGAGCAAACAGGAUUAGAUACCCUGGUAGUCCACGCGGUAAAC
rnacentral:rRNA from 1 species